rnacentral:rRNA from 1 species
UACGGAGGGUGCAAGCGUUGUCCGGAUUUAUUGGGUUUAAAGGGUGCGUAGGUGGUCUUUUAAGUCGGGCUUGAAAGCUGGGUGCUCAACGCUCAGAUGUGGCUGGAAACUGGGGGACUUGAAUGAACUGGAGGUCACUGGAACGGGUCAUGUAGCGGUGAAAUGCAUAGAUAUGACCCAGAACCCCGAUUGCGCAGGCAGGUGACCAGGGUUUGAUUGACACUGAGGCACGAGAGCAUGGGGAGCGAACAGG